rnacentral:tRNA from 1 species
UCCGGGGUGGCGAAAUUGGCAGCCGCGCUUGACUGUUAAUCAAGUGUCCUAACGGACGUGUGGGUUCGAGUCCCACCCCCGGAG